AGAAAAUUAAGAUCUCCGUUCACCCACAGUGGAUUCAAAAGUUCCCCUUUAUGUACAUCUCUUGUUUUCAUGAAGGAUUCUUGCUUAUAAGAAGGUGCUAUGCAAAGUGAAACAUAUUAUUUCAUUGGUGUUAUGCUGGAAAUCCUGUUCAGUGCCUGUAAAAUGUGCACAGUGUUGUGUAGAGUAUGUGUUAUAGCAUGAAGAAUGAUGGCAAGUGAUUUGUCAGUUAGAUGUGUAUUUCGCUGUGAUAGACAAUGGAUUGCAUUCUUAGCAUCUAAUCUUCCAAGCUUACAUGUGCUAGCAUGUGGUAUACAGCAUCAGCCAUGUGAAGAUGUUGGCUGCCCUGUCUCUGUGACCUAAAUAUCCGGUGUACAAAGUCAAGUGGGUGUAUUCCACUUCUGCAGCUCAGAUGAUGAGAAAAGUAUGUACAGGAAUCCUGCCACCAGCAACAUAACUGAUGAUAUGAUGAACACCAGCUGCCACUGCUCUAUUGUUUGCUUGAUAUUGUGACAUAAUGCACUAUGGAGGACAUCCCCUCCCCCGCCAGCGGUGACAUGGCAUUGGAGAGCUGCCGCUUCUACGGUAACAGGACAGUCAACACCCCACCCUCCUACCCGCGGUGACGUGGCAGCGCUGCCUACUGUGACGUAACAUGCGACACUGCUGUUGACACAGGCAACAGCGAACGGUAUAAAAAUCCAUCUGAGCAGUAUGUGAGAAAGUGUAUGAGCAGGAGGGACACAGUGCGGAUUGAGCAGGCACCGGAGACAGUUGAAUUGGAGCAGUCGCUGAGUUCAGUUGUAGCAGAAAGAAGAAUACCGGAACGUGUGAUUAGAAGUGAUAGUGUGAGAAGGUAUUGGGAGUGUGUGAUACAGUGACACUGGUAUAGCUCCCGUAUUGUACUGUACAUGAAGACUACUGGAGACACAGUGAAUAGAUUAGUGUGUAGGGUUUGUAAAUUGUGUAAACCUGCAGCUGUGUUAUAA